rnacentral:rRNA from 1 species
CUACGGGUGGCAGCAGUGAGGAAUAUUGCACAAUGGGGGGAACCCUGAUGCAGCAACGCCGCGUGGAGGAUGACGCAUUUCGGUGUGUAAACUCCUUUUAUAUGUCAAGAAAAUGACGGUAGUAUAUGAAUAAGCACCGGCUAACUCCGUGCCAGCAGCCGCGGUAAUACGGAGGGUGCAAGCGUUACUCGGAAUCACUGGGCGUAAAGGACGCGUAGGCGGGUUGGAAAGUCAGGUGUGAAAUCCUACAGCUUAACUGUAGAACUGCACUUGAAACUUCUAAUCUAGAGUAUGGGAGGGGGAGAUGGAAUUAGUGGUGUAGGGGUAAAAUCCGUAGAUAUCACUAGGAAUACUUAAAGCGAAGGCGAUCUCCUGGAACAUUACUGACGCUAAGGCGUGAAAGCGUGGGGAGCAAACAGGAUUAGAUACCCCCGUAGUC